rnacentral:rRNA from 1 species
AGAGUUUGAUCAUGGCUCAGAUUGAACGCUGGCGGAAUGCUUUACACAUGCAAGUCGAACGGCAGCACGGGGCAACCUGGUGGCGAGUGGCGAACGGGUGAGUAAUACAUCGGAACGUGCCCAAUCGUGGGGGAUAACGUAGCGAAAGUUACGCUAAUACCGCAUACGAUCUACGGAUGAAAGCGGGGGAUCGCAAGACCUCGCGCGAAUGGAGCGGCCGAUGUCAGAUUAGGUAGUUGGUGGGGUAAAGGCUCACCAAGCCAACGAUCUGUAGCUGGUCUGAGAGGACGACCAGCCACACUGGAACUGAGACACGGUCCAGACUCCUACGGGAGGCAACAGUGGGGAAUUUUGGACAAUGGGCGCAAGCCUGAUCCAGCCAUUCCGCGUGCAGGAUGAAGGCCUUCGGGUUGUAAACUGCUUUUGUACGGAACGAAACGGUCUGCCCUAAUACGGUGGGCUAAUGACGGUACCGUAAGAAUAAGCACCGGCUAACUACGUG